rnacentral:rRNA from 1 species
GUGUCAGCAGCCGCGGUAAUACAGAGGUGGCAAGCGUUGUUCGGAAUUACUGGGCGUAAAGGGCGCGUAGGCGGUUCUGUAAGUCCCGUGUGAAAUCCCCCGGCUCAACUGGGGAAUGGCACGGGAGACUGCGGGGCUUGAGUUCGGGAGAGGGAAGCGGAAUUCCGGGUGUAGCGGUGAAAUGCGUAGAUAUCCGGAGGAACACCGGUGGCGAAGGCGGCUUCCUGGACCGACACUGACGCUAAGGCGCGAAAGCUAGGGGAGCAAACGGGAUUAGAAACCCCCGUAGUCC